rnacentral:rRNA from 1 species
AUUGAACGCUGGCGGCAGGCCUAACACAUGCAAGUCGAACGAGUGGCGGACGGGUGAGUAAUGGCUGGGAAACUGCCCGAUGGAGGGGGAUCACUACUGGAAACGGUAGCUAAUACCGCAUACCAUCGGAUGUGCCCAGCUGGGAUUAGCUAGUAGGUGGGGUAACGGCUCACCUAGGCGACGAUCCCUAGCUGGUCUGAGAGGAUGACCAGCCACACUGGAACUGAGACACGGUCCAGACUCCUACGGGAGGCAGCAGUGGGGAAUAUGGCGCAAUGGGCGAAAGCCUGAUGCAGCCAUGCCGCGUGUAUGAAGAAGGCCUUAGGGUUGUAAAGUACUUUCAGUCGGGAGGCGUUACCGACAGAAAAAGCACCGGCUAACUCCGUGCCAGCAGCCGCGGUAAUUC